rnacentral:rRNA from 1 species
AACGAACGCUGGCGGCAUGCCUAACACAUGCAAGUCGAACGAGACCUUCGGGGCUAGUGGCGCACGGGUGCGUAACGCGUGGGAACCUUCCCUUAGGUUCGGAAUAACUCCCCGAAAGGGGUGCUAAUACCGGCUAAUGUCUUCGGACCAAAGAUUUAUCGCCUUUGGAUGGGCCCGCGUUGGCUUAGCUAGUUGGUAGGGUAAAAGCCUACCAAGGCGACGAUCCAUAGCUGGUCUGAGAGGAUGAUCAGCCACACUGGGACUGAGACACGGCCCAGACUCCUACGGGAGGCGGCAGUGGGGAAUAUUGGAAAAUGGGCGAAAGCAUGAUCCAGCAAUGCCGCGUGAGUGAUGAAGGCCUUAGGGUUGUAAAGCUCUUUUACACGGGAUGAUAAUGACAGUACCGGGAGAAUAAGCUCCGGCUAACUCCGUG